rnacentral:rRNA from 1 species
AACCUGCCCAAAGUGAGGAAUAAGCCACCGAAAGGUGGUCUAAUACUUCAUAAUAUCCAUCUCGUAUGGAUUAAAGCUUUAUGCGCUUGGGAGGGGCCUGCGUAACAUUAGCUUGUUGGUGAGGUAAAAGCUCACCAAGGCUUCGAUGUUUAACUGGUUUGAGAGGAUGACCAGUCACACUGGGACUGAGAUACGGCCCAGACUCCUACGGGAGGCAGCAGUAAGGAAUCUUCCACAAUGGGGGCAACCCUGAUGGAGCAAUACCGCGUGCAGGAUGAAGCGUUUCGGCGUGUAAACUGCUUUUAUCACCGAAGAUUAUGACUGUAGGUGAAGAAUAAGGACCGGCUAACUACGUG